rnacentral:rRNA from 1 species
GAUGAACGCUGGCGGCGUGCCUAAUACAUGCAAGUCGAGCGAACGGACGAGAAGCUUGCUUUUCUGAUGUUAGCGGCGGACGGGUGAGUAACACGUGGAUAACCUACCUAUAAGACUGGUAUAACUUCGGGAAACCGGAGCUAAUACCGGAUAAUAUUUUGAACCGCAUGGUUCAAAAGUGAAAGACGGUCUUGCUGGCACUUAUAGAUGGAUCCGCGCUGCAUUAGCUAGUUGUUAAGUUAACGGCUUACCAAGGCAACGAUGCAUAGCCGACCUGUGAGGGUGAUAGGCCACACUGGAACUGAGACACGGUCCAGACGCCUACGAGAGGCAGCAGUAGGGAAUCUUCCGCAAUGGGCGAGAGCAUGACGGAGCAACGCGGCGUGAGUGAUGAAGGUCUUCGGAUCGUAAAACUCUGUUAUUAGGGAAGAACAGAUGUGUCAGUAACUGUGCACAUAUUGACGGUACCUAAUCAGAAAGCAACGGCUAACUACGUG